CUCCUCUUGUAGUUCAUAAGUGUGAUGGUUGGUUUUUCUUGUGCCUGUGUGAGAUGUGCCUCCCUCAACCUUGUUACAAUGUUGGCAUAUUACGCAUCUGACA